GAGUUACUAGUAAUCGCAGAUCAGAAUGCUGCGGUGAAUGCGUUCCCGGGUCUUGUACACACCGCCCGUCACACCACGGGAGUUGGGGACGCCCGAAGCCGAUUAUCUAACCUUUUGGAAGAAGUCGGCGAAGGUGGAAUCAAUAACUGGGGUGAAGUCGUAACAAGGUAGCCGUAUCGGAAGGUGCGGCUGGAUCACCUCCUUUCUAAGGAGA
rnacentral:rRNA from 1 species